rnacentral:lncRNA from 1 species
CAACACUAAGGUCCUCUAUGCCUCAGUGGGUUAGUACUGUCAACACUAAGGUCCUCUAUGGCUCAGUAGGUUAGUACUGUCAACACUAAGGUCCUCUAUGGCUCAGUAGGUUAGUACUGUCAACACUAAGGUCCUCUAUGGCUCAGUAGGUUAGUACUGUCAACACUAAGGUCCUCUAUCAGUAGGUUAGAACUGUCAACACUAAGGUCCUCUAUGUCUCAGUAGGUUAGUACUGUCAACACUAAGGUCCUCUAUGGCUCAGUAGGUUAGUACUGUCAACACUAAGGUCCUCUAUGGCUCAGUAGGUUAGUACUGUCAACACUAAGGUCCUCUAUGGCUCAGUAGGUUAGUACUGUCAACACUAAGGUCCUCUAUGGCUCAGGAUGGUGGUCUGUUUGAAACAUGUUGGUAUUACAGACUCGGUCAGCGAGUGGUUUGAAAAUGUCAGUGAAGACCAGUUUGCCAGUUUGUCCGCGCAAACUCUGAGUCCACGUUCCUGGUAAUCCGUCUGGCCCUGCGUCCUUGGGAAUGUUGACCUGUUUAAAAGUGUUGCUCACGUCGGCUACAGAGAGCGUGAUCACACAGUCAUCCGGAACAGCUUGUGCUCUCAUGCAUGCUUCAGUGUUGCUUGCCUCGAGGCGAACAUCAAAGGCAUUUAGCUCGUCUGGUAGGAUCGAUUCACUGGGCAGCUCGCGGCCGGGUCUCCCUUCGUCGUCCGUAAUAAUUUGCAAGCCCCCUGCCUCAUCCGACGAGCGUCAGAGACGAUUUCUUAUAAGCGUCCGGAUUAGUGUCGCGCUCCUUGAAAGCGGCAGCUCCUAGCCUUUAGCUCGACAGUAGUAGUGUCU